rnacentral:rRNA from 1 species
UACGUAGGGGGCUAGCGUUGUCCGGAAUCAUUGGGCGUAAAGCGCGUGUAGGCGGUCCGGUAAGUCCGCUGUGAAAGUCGGGGGGCUCAACCCUCGGAUGCCGGUGGAUACUGUCGGACUAGAGUACGGAAGAGGCGAGUGGAAUUCCUGGUGUAGCGGUGAAAUGCGCAGAGAUCAGGAGGAACACCCGUAGCGAAGGCGGCACUCUGGGCCGAUACUGACACUGAGGAGCGAAAGCGUGGGGAGCGAACAGG